UCUUGGUCAAGCAGAAGUUACCAGUCGUCUAUAUUGAUGGACCCAUGCUCUCAGAUCUUGGCUAUCAUGGACCUUCUGUGGACCAAUGAGCUUAACCUGGCCAAUUUGCACACUGACAGUUGCCGUCUUGCCCGAGGAGAUCCAGAGCAUCUGCAAUGUUCCCUCGCUCAUUCCAACAAAGCCUCUGCUGGAUUUGAUCCAGAGUAUGAGGCACUGCCCUAACCAUUAGAGAUGAAUGCCAUGUUGAAAAUAACUUCAAGUAUUCAGAAAGGAAUUGAUGGAUUCUGCUCCU